AGUAACUUUUAAAGUCAGGUGAUUUAUUUAAUUCAUGCAUUAUAAUAAUAACGCAAUUCAAGUCCUUUGUCAAUUGUAUUUAAAGUAUAUUAAUCUGUAAUUUUUAAAUUAGAAGGCGAUGAUGACUCAAGAAAACGUUGCUCUUUUCAAAUGCAAGAGGUCAAACUUUUGAUAAAGUUAGUGCUUAUCUUCAAAACCCUUGCAUCUCACACGGUCAACUCGAUGUUACAUGUUAAAGAAUAAGAUCGUUUAAUACCUUAUUUAAAAGAAGUUACAAAAAAAAUCCGUUUGCUUUUAUAUAAAAAACCAGAUCGUUUGAUCGUUUGUUUUUGCAAGUUGUUAAACAUUUAUUACAAGAUUUUGACUAUUAACAAUGCUUUAGAAAAAACAUCAGCAACAGAUAAAUUGCAUAUUUCAGAACAAAUAGAGAGACCCUAACCCACAUCUCCUAAGGUAGGGGCCCAAGUUUAGGGCAAAAGCUCAACCCUCCUUUUGUGUGUGGAUCCUGCUGAAAGUAAAAUAUGAGGAGAUGGAGAGCGGUGGGAAAAUAAUACGCUACAUCUUAGUAAUUUUUAUAGUUGGUUAAUCUACCAAUUGUUAAUUGAUGAUGCAGAUGCAGUUAAAUUUUUUUCUGCAAAUAUAACUUUUCUUUACA